rnacentral:rRNA from 1 species
UACGUAGGGUGCGAGCGUUGUCCGGAAUUAUUGGGCGUAAAGAGCUCGUAGGCGGUCUGUCGCGUCGAAUGUGAAAACCCGGGGGCUCAACUCCGGGCUUGCAUUCGAUACGGGCAGGCUAGAGUUCGGUAGGGGAGUCUGGAAUUCCUGGUGUAGCGGUGAAAUGCGCAGAUAUCAGGAGGAACACCGGUGGCGAAGGCGGGACUCUGGGCCGAUACUGACGCUGAGGAGCGAAAGCGUGGGGAGCGAACGG